CUUACAACGAGGGCACGACUCGCGAAACGGUUACGACAAAAUUUUUAUUUUCAACUGAUAUAAGUCGACGGCAAGUCAGAGUGAUCUCAAUCUCACUUCGAGACUUCAAUUUCGAGAAGCGUCAACAGACAUCCAGGAGUGAAUACUUUGUCUUCAUUUGCCGUGCAGACAGUUUCCCGCGGAUCACGAAUUGAGGAGAGGAACGACGCAGUUGAGAAGCCGCGGGCGUCGUCCGGCAAUAAACGAGUCAGCAGUGUCGAAGACGGAAAGGACGACAGAUCGCGUGACGGAGCUUCCGGACGAUUCGUGGACAUCUCGACAGCUGUGUGCGUGCGUGUAUAUGUGCGAGAAAGAAGAACGCAAGUCUCACGUGUGUGGUUGCGUGGAAAGUCUAGGAUUCUAAGAUUCAUAAAAAAUGUGUAUGUACAUACAUAGCAUAGAAAUAGGGACUUUAAUACGCGCGAAAGUGGAGAUUCCUAUGUGUACAGAGCGAUAAUUAGCAUACAAAGAAAUUAAUGAGCUCGUGUGAGAAAAAAGAAGCCCUGGAUUAUAAAUAAUUCUUGUAUUAGAGAGUCUCCAACUUUAAGUCGAGUCUCAGAAUAUACGCGAGCUUUUACGGAAAGCUCUAGGCAUCGCACAACUGUGACUCAACGCGCGCGAACGUUUUUUUAACGAAGGUUAAUGCUAUACUAAAAAAAUCAUUCGGAACGCUUUUGAAAUAUUAUACUUAAUUUUACGACACCCUAUGUUCAGGAGUCAACGGAAUGAAUGGUACUGCGCGCACUACCGCGCGUGUUGUCGUUUUGAAGAUUUGUUUACCUGAGCGCGCGCUGUAUCACACAAUAGUCACAGACGCGGUGGUGCCAAGACAUGUUUCGGGGGGAGCGUUCCGUUACAGGCUCGCAAUGCUCGCGAGCGUCAUUCUAUCUUUGUUGCUCAUUAGAUAUUAAAGACGUUUUAGAUAGAAUGACGCGAGCGAGCGUUGCGAGCGUGUAACGGAACGCGCCCGGGAUAAGAUACUUGGUCGUUUCCUGCGCUUUCAAAUUAAUCCGAGCUGAUGGAAACGCGUGAACGGACGUGUCGCGUUCGUCGUGGCGGCACCGUCAUUAGCAUAGUGACAGCGAUCUGCCAUAGAUCCGAAAGUUUACUAUGUCCAUAUCGCGGAGGAAAAUGCGGAUACUGAUGCUGAUGUGGAUAUGCUGAAGCCGUGCCUGAGGAUAGGCUCGAGUCUAGCAGAGCCGGCUCGAAGAACUCGCAGUUGAACGGCUUCAGAUCUUCUAUGGUUCGGUGAGUGAAGAAAUGACAAAUGAAUGAAUUUAACCUUCUUUGACUCGCGCGAUUAUUUAAUAUAUGAAGACUCGUAUUUGUGAUAUCUGUGUGAGAGCAAUUUUCAAAUAAUGGAAAUAUAAUUAAAUAUUUGUCUUUGGCAUAAAAACUUUGGCUCCUAGUCAAAGUGCUCGCGCACAUUAAUGUUAAUGAUUGUGAAAAAAAAUUGAUUCUUUAUCUCGUCGGUCUGAAAAGUCGAUACACGAGUCAAGCAAGGUUACGAUUUGUGGUAAUGGUUAGAUGGUGCUUUUACGAAGGUGUUCACUUAAAUCAAUGCGAUUUACAUUGCAUGCUAGCUUUUAUACAUGUAUGUGCCGUUUAAAAAAUAUACAAGCUCAAAGCAAUCAAGAGAUCACUUCUAACGUUUAUAUCGUUCUAGUAGAGAUUUUACUAUUUCACUUGUGAUAUUAAUAUCUAACUCUUGAUCUUGAUGAAAUAUGUUUGUACGAAUUGAACGUCCCAUAUUUGCUUAUCCUUGCAUUCGGCUCAAGCUGUGGAAUUAACACUUGAGCGAAUUGAAUUGACCGACUUAUUUAUUCGGUGUGAUCUCUAGUUGUCUUGAGAAAGGUGUAUAAAGCGUAUUUGUUGAAAUUACGCCACUGUUCGUCGAAUUCGGGCUUAUUUCGCCCGAGCUGAUGCGCGGCGAUUGUCACGAUUAUUAAUUCGGAUUUGUCGGACGCGUGUUUAUGUAUACGCGAUUGCACGAACUAAACCGAGAUACGUAAACGCGGAAGUACACUUCGCAAGAGUGCUGCGAAACAAUUCGACGUAACGGUUUUACCCGCAAUCGUUUUGUUCGCGGAAUCACUCCGCGUGUUGCUGAUAGUUUCGUCAUAGAGAGGCGCGACAAUUAUUUUUUUGUGCAACAUAUCGCGUCUCCGUGAGAUAGCUGACAAAGGUUGCUUGUGACAAAGCGUAGGCCCCCCGGGAAUGUAAACAAAGAGUUUUUGCCCAUUCAUACACUUAGCCCAUUCAUAAACAUAGCCGUGAAUACGUCAAAGCACUUGGGAGAUUUUACUCCUGAGUUGUUGAAUUUAGACUCUGUCGUGAGU